UACGUAGGGGCUAGCGUUAUCCGGAAUUACUGGGCGUAAAGGGUGCGUAGGUGGUUUCUUAAGUCAGAGGUGAAAGGCUACGGCUCAACCGUAGUAAGCCUUUGAAACUGGGAAACUUGAGUGCAGGAGAGGAGAGUGGAAUUCCUAGUGUAGCGGUGAAAUGCGUAGAUAUUAGGAGGAACACCAGUUGCGAAGGCGGCUCUCUGGACUGUAACUGACACUGAGGCACGAAAGCGUGGGGAGUAAACAGGAUUAGAUACCCUGGUAGUCCCUGAGCGGG
rnacentral:rRNA from 1 species